rnacentral:tRNA from 1 species
GCUACUAUAGCUCAGUUGGUAGAGCAAUCGACCGAUAAUCGAUUGGCGUAGGUUCAAGUCCUGCUAGUAGCACCA